rnacentral:rRNA from 1 species
UACGUAGGGUGCGAGCGUUAAUCGGAAUUACUGGGCGUAAAGCGUGCGCAGGCGGUUCGUUGUGUCCGUCGUGAAAGCCCCGGGCUUAACCUGGGAACUGCGAUGGAAACUAGCGAGCUGGAGUGUGGCAGAGGGGGGUGGAAUUCCGCGUGUAGCAGUGAAAUGCGUAGAUAUGCGGAGGAACACCGAUGGCGAAGGCAAUCCCCUGGGCCUGCACUGACGCUCAUGCACGAAAGCGUGGGGAGCAAACAGG